GAUGAACGCUGGCGGCGUGCCUAAUACAUGCAAGUCGAACGAACAGACGAGGAGUUUGCUCCUCUGACGAUAGCGGCGGACGGGUGUGUCACAUGUGGAUAACCUACCUAUAAGACUGGGAUCACUUCGGAAAUCCGGCUCUAAUACCGGAUAAUCUCUUGAACCGCAUGGUUCAAUAGAGAAUGACGGCUUUGCUGUCACUUCUAGAUGCAUCCGCGCCGCAUUAGAUAGUUGGUAAGGUAACAGCUUACCAAGGCAACGAGGCGUAGACGACCUGUUAGGCUGAUCGGCCGCACGGGAACGGAGCCACGGUCAAGGCGCCUGCGGGAGGCAGCAGUAGGGUAUCGGCCGCAGUAGUGGAGAGCCUGACGGAGCAACGCCGCGUGAGUGAUGAAGGUCUUCGGAGCGGAAUACUCUGUUAUGAGGGAUGAACAAAUUUGUAUUGAGCUAUGCACGUCGUGACGGUACCGGAUCAGGAAGCCACGGCUAACUACGUG
rnacentral:rRNA from 1 species